CACUAUGAAGCUAAAUAGCAUUAACCUUUUAAGUUAAAGAUUGAGAAUUUAAUUCUCCAUAGUGA
rnacentral:tRNA from 1 species